CCUUAGACCAUGAGAUCGUGUAACUCCCGGAUACCGUAAGAGUGCUUUGGGUGUACCAAACGUCACAACGUAACUGGGUGACUAUAAAGGUGCACUACAGGUAUCUCCAAAAGUGUCUGUUGGGUUGACAUAGAUCGAGACUGGGAUUUGUCACUCCGUAUGACGGAGAGGUAUCUCUGGGCCCACUCGGUAAUGCAUCAUCAUAAUGAGCUCAAAGUG
rnacentral:rRNA from 1 species